UACGAAGGGGGGCUAGCGUUGUUCGGAAUUACUGGGCGUAAAGGGCGCGUAGGCGGCCUCUGCAAGUCGACUGUGAAAUCUCCGGGCUUAACCCGGAAAGGUCAGCCGAUACUGCAGGGCUAGAGUGCAGAAGGGGCAACUGGAAUUCUCGGUGUAGCGGAUGAAAUGCGUAGAUAUCGAGAGGAACACCUGCGGCGAAGGCGGGUUGCUGGGCUGACACUGACGCUGAGGCGCGAAAGCUAGGGGAGCGAACGGG
rnacentral:rRNA from 1 species